UCCCUGCCAUUGGACAUUGGGAAGAUGUUGAUGAUUUUAACUGACACCCUGGCUAAACCAUUUCAGGACAACCAUGGUUAGGUCUCUUUGUUGCUCUUUUCACAGGUGCCCACUUUGCUUGUGGGAUUUAGGAGGAAAUGCCACACACUGUCAUAGAAAAAAUGGCGUCUCACUCUAUUGCCCAGGCUAGAGUACAAUAGUGCAAUCUUGGCUCACUGCAACCUCCCCCUCCCAGGUUCAAGCCAUUCUCCUGCCUCAGCCUCCCGAGUAGCUAGAACUACAAGCACGUGCACUGUACCCAGCUAAUUUUUUGUAUUUUUAGCAGAGACGGGGUUUCUCCAUGUUGGCCAGGCUGGUCUCGAACUCCUGACCUCAGGUAAUCCACCGCCUCAUCCUCCCAAAAUGCAUUAUCUCUUCCCAAAAUGCAUUAUCUAUUUCAUUAAGAAAAAGGAGAAAGCAACCAUGCUAAGCUUCAAAUAAAAGCAUGUGAGCACACCUGAUGACGCUAGACCCACUGGAAUCUCGCAUAACUCAUCCUGAACGUGUUGGGAAUCAAGUCUCUCAGGAUUAGCCCUGGUAAUCUGAAAGUCACCAGUCAUCAAGAAGUGGCAUCUCUACCAUGUGGUGCAAUCAUAGCCCUGAACUCAAAUUUCUGUCUGAUAUAUUUGAUGUGAUCCCUCCUUUUAUACCCUUUUAACUUCUGCUUGGAGAGACCCACUGACCUUGUAGCUGACUGUCAGAACUUUUCCUUGCCAGGCCAGCAAUAAAUUUGGCAUUGUUUUGGACAUU
ensembl:lncRNA LINC02388 long intergenic non-protein coding RNA 2388